AUCCAGCUAACGAGUCUCAAAUGAGGCGAAACGCGCGUCCUGGAU
rfam:Schistosoma curassoni strain Dakar, Senegal genome assembly, scaffold: SCTD_scaffold0000875